rnacentral:lncRNA from 1 species
GGGAUCUUCCUGUUUGCUUGGAAGGUUGGCCCUCAGUCAAUAACCUAGGGCUUCACCAUGCCAAAUCCAAAAUGUUCUGUUGUUGAUCACUGGUAUCAACAGCUCAGAAACUGCAAAACAGACCCCCGACAGUUACCAACACCCUCCUCCAAAGAACUUUCUGUUUACUGUUUGGUGUUUUCUCAGUCAAUGGAAACCCCACCAAAGCAAUGCCCUCUGUGGCUUCGGUGAGCAGAGCAGGCCCACUGAGACAGUAGACGCCCCACACUGACCAGCGUUGCCUACACAGGGCAUUUAAGUAAAGGAGGGCUUCAUCUUUGGACUAACACCUUGGAAUCACAUCAAUUGAUUAAAAAUUUUGCCAUGAAAGGCUGCUUUUCUUUCCAAAGUUGACACUCAACCUUAGAGUCCAACUAGACAGGGAAAAAUUCCCUUAGAAAUCACCUUUUCAGACAGGUACACAUCAGCCUGUUUCCAGUCCUGGGACCUUUCAGUGUCUUUGCCCGUGAGCCUGCUCCACGGCCUGAGAACAAACGUGACAGAGAGUGGCACAUGGGGCUCCGUGGAGUGGAGACUAAUACGACACAAUUUUGACCCUAAGAAAAAAACAAAACAAACAAACAAAAACAGCUGGGCUCCACCUUUGAAGGCAGCCAGGCACAAAGAGCAUCGGAGAAGGGGCUUUCGGGGAUCUCCGCAUAGAAAUGCACAAGAUACCCUGAGGACUCAUUAUGAUGUCAAAGCCAAAAACACUUCCAUUGUGGAAACAUGCAUAGAAAAAUCAUUGUGUAUGCUGGAACAAUGCAGAGUUCUGGAGAGACUUCGCCUCAAGGUAGACUUCCUGGCAAAGGACAACACACAUUGGAAAAACUGA